rnacentral:rRNA from 1 species
UAGGGAAUCUUCCACAAUGGGCGAAAGCCUGAUGGAGCAACGCCGCGUGUGUGAUGAAGGGUUUCGGCUCGUAAAACACUGUUGUAUGGGAAGAACAGCUAGAAUAGGAAAUGAUUUUAGUUUGACGGUACCAUACCAGAAAGGGACGGCUAAAUACGUGCCAG